rfam:Ictidomys tridecemlineatus contig035512, whole genome shotgun sequence.
UGGGUUAUGGCUCAGCAGUAGAGCACUCGCCUCGAAUGUGUGAGGCCCUGGGUUCGAUCCUCAGCACCACAU